AAAUUGCAUCUGAGGACCAGUAGACAGAGUGCUUCGAAAGUCUACAUUCUAGACAUUGUGAGUAAACUAUUGUCAUUUUAAUUAUCUAGGGUGGUUUUUAGAUGAUUUCAUGAAUUUUAUGGAAAAAGGAAUUUAAAAAGGUAAAUUUUCAUGUUUUAUGAAUAAAUGUGUUUCAAUGAAAUUAAAUUAUAAAUUGUUUUGAAAUUAAUAGUGAUUUUAAAAAAUAGAGUACACGGAGACUGUUAAUCGUGGCAAUUUGAUUGUUUAAAUUGAUUGGCUUAUGAUAAAUCGGGCAUGAUUGGCUAGUUGGCAAUUGUAUUGAAAUAGAAAUUGUUUAGUUGCCUUGAGAGACUGUGAAUUACAAAAUUGUCAUAUCAUGUUAUUGAGUUUUAUUGUAUGGUGGAUUAUAUAUAUUAAUUAAUCAUUGCAGUAAGGGGUUUUUGUGGACCAACCUUUUAGAGGGGCACGGUAAACCCCAUUAUAUUCUUACCUCAAACGGAGAGGCGCGUAGGGUAUCUCCUGGGGUAAAGCUUAGGGUUCACUUCACGCCAAACCACCACGUGAGGGGGAACUCAGCCAACGCCAAGGAAUGGCUAUGUUUUCAAAACAAAAACAUGAUUCAUGUGAAAUGUGAAUUUUAAUAGCCUUGGCGGUCUCGGUAGGAUGCCUCAGCCAAGGUGUCCCUGAGAAUGGAUUUGUGGCACGCGCCUAGUUUUUAUGAGAUUCAUAAGCCUCUUUAUGUAUUUUAAAUGAAAUGUAUUCUAAUGCUGUGACCCAGUUUACGAUGAUUUACUUUAUUGUCUCCAUGUACUCAAUUCUAGAUAUUUAUGAUGAUGUCUGUUUACUCAUUGGGAUUUUAUAAUCUCACCACCCUCCUUUUCACCCAUUUCAGGUUUAGUAUAGACUAUAGAUAGCUGAUCUCAUCGAGGACUACCAUUGGAUCUGCAUUUUCCAAACCGUAGGUUCAUAGUCCUCUUUACUUUUGUUUAUUCGGGGGCCUUCUUGUUAUUGUAAAUUAAAUUAAAUAUUUUGGCUUACUGUAUUUCAGUAUGUAUAAAUUUAUUUAGCUUUUACGCUAUAAAAAUUAUUCACGUAU
rnacentral:lncRNA from 1 species